UACGUAGGGUGCAAGCGUUAAUCGGAAUUACUGGGCGUAAAGCGUGCGCAGGCGGUUGUGCAAGACAGAUGUGAAAUCCCCGGGCUUAACCUGGGAAUGGCAUUUGGGACUGCAAGGCUCGAGUGCGGCAGAGGAGACUGGAAUUCCUGGUGUAGCAGUGAAAUGCGUAGAUAUCAGGAGGAACACCGAUGGCGAAGGCAGGUCUCUGGGCUGACACUGACGCUCAUGCACGAAAGCGUGGGGAGCAAACAGG
rnacentral:rRNA from 1 species